CUCUUUAAUAAUAAUAAAUAAAAAAACUGUUCUUGGGGAGAAGACGGAGAAGAACUUGAGAACUGUAUGAGAGUUGUUCUUCACAUACAAAAUCUCAGGUUUUUUUUUUUCUUUCUAAAUCUGAAAUUAUAGGUGGGGAGAUUAUUAGCCAUUAUUUAUUUUGUUUCAUGAGAAGAGAAAGAGAGUUUCGGCGACUGCAAAUUUGUUCGGUGAGUUGUAGCGAAGAAGACAAAAUUCGGGCAAGUAAUCCAGAUUGGAGUAAGAACUAUACAACUCGACGGUGGGUUGUUUGUGGGUGUCAGAUUAAUCGAAAAUUCUGACCUAAUCUGAAAAAUUUGGAGUUCUGAAAAGGGGGAAAUCGGAGAAAAGUAGUUCGGUUUUCAUCUCGGUGUCUCCGACGACUAGAAAAGGUAAUGAUACUUUGCCUUAUUCCGAUUGAGAUAUUUAACCAAAAUCUGGGCAAAUCUUUGUGAAGAUAGCAUAUCCCUAAUUUCAAUUUCAAAACUGGUUGGCUUUAGAAAUUGAGAAUCGACUUUCUCCCAAAAUUAAAAGUAAAUUAUGAUAUGUUGUAUAAUUUAUUUUUGUGUACGUAUGUCAUUUUUGGCUGGAGAAAGAAGUUUAUAAACCAUAUUUAUGUACAUUGUCUUUGAAUUUUUAUUCUGUGUACCAAACAUUUAUUGAGUUGCAGUGUGUUGGUGUCGGAUCCCGCACCAGAAGUACGCGACCAACCAAAGAUUGCCACGUAGUCAAGCGGGUGGCCCAUAAAGAUGAAGCCCAUUGGGCCCAUGAACCGAGGGGACGGUCGAAGUGGUUGUCACCACUUCGAGAGUCCGAAGUGACUGCACUGAGAUGUGAGUUCGGUAUAUAAGACGCGGAUAGGUCGGUUCAAGGACACUUGGGCCAAAAAGGCGAGGCCCACAAAGAUCAGAGUCAACUCAAAUUCAAACGUUGAGAAUUAAAGUCGAAGAAUCAAAACGGACACAUUUAAGAGGGAAUAAUUGUACUUAAUUAUUCAUUUUAAUGUUAAAUUCUCUAUGUAUAAAUAUAGAGGCCAAUGGCCAUGUAAAGGGGAUCUUCCUCUCGAGAGAGAAAUAAUAUAGCAAUUCUAGUAUCAAAUUUACAAGUUCUUACGUAUUCAUUUUUGUCCCUCAAGAAUAAUCUUUCCCACUUAACAAAAUACUUGAGUGUGUAAAUCCGACAUCCACAUUUUGGCGCCGUCUGUGGGGACAUCAGGAUUCUUGAGUGGUCAGAUUUCUUCUUUUCUACAUUUCCGAGAUAAGCGACAAUGUCCGGAGGAGACGCCGUUGAAACAUCAUUGGCCGAAACCCUCAAAGCUAUGCAGCAAACCAUGUCGGACAUAUCACAAAAGUUCUCAGAUGUGGAGAAGGCCGUCGAUACGUUGCAAACAUCCCAGGUAUCUCUUAGCCAAAACGUCAAUAAUAUACAAACUCGUGUUCGCUCUUUAAGUGCAGGAAACCCGGUGGGGACCCGAAGAGGGAUAUUCAACUCGCCAAGUUCCGCUGCACGAAAUGAAACCAGCGGACAAACAACCCCCGGUGCUACUAAUAAUGUAGCUCAGACGUUGGAGGAAGAGACGCAGCUCGGAGAUGAAGAACAACUUGCAGCUCAGUAUGAGCAGGAGAACCUCGACCAGUUCGAGACCAUGAGGAAGGUUAGCCAGGAAUUAAAAGAAAUGAAAUCAAAAUUUCAUCAGGCUACAAGUUCGGAGCCAGACAUCAAUCGAGUCAUUGAAGAAGCAAGGCGAACCCCUUUUAUCCCGCGAAUUGCAAGUUUGAGGAUCAAAGAUUCCCGGAAGCUCAAGUUGGACCCUUACAGCGGAUUGGAGGAUCCAAAAAGCUAUCUUGCAGCCUUUCUGAUCGCUGCAGGAAGAGUCGAGUUGGAUGAAGCUGAUGAGGACGCAGGCUAUUGCAAGCUGUUUUCGGAGAAUCUGUGUGGCCAAGCUCUAAUGUGGUUCACCCAAUUAGAGCCGGGUUCGAUCAGCAAUUUCGACGAACUGUCAGCCGUGUUCUUAAAGCAAUACUCUAUCCUUAUGGAUAAAAGCGUUUCGGAUGCUGAUCUUUGGAACUUAACGCAAGGAUCUAAUGAGUCACUUCGAGUUUUCAUCACCAAAUUCAAAGGGGUGCUAUCAAAACUCCCAAGAAUCUCACAGCAAUCAGCUUUAUCUGCCCUACGAAAAGGAUUGCGACAUGAUUCAAGGUUUAAAGAAGACUUAAUACUUCAUAAACCAGAUACAAUUCAGGAUGCACUCUUCCGUGCGAACAAUUGGAUGGAGGUAGAAGACGAAAAAGAAAGUUUUGCCAAACGGAAUAAACAAGAAAAGCCGGCAGUCACCGUCCCCACCAAGAAGUUCGAGCCUAGAGAGAGCAAAGGACCAAGGAAGUUUGGGUCGCAACCCUUCAACAAUUCUGUCGGGAAGCAAUUCCAAGGGAAAGGAAGAUCAAACACUUGGGUCCGUGAUGAAAGUCUAUAUUGCGACAUUCAUAAAGUAACCGGACAUUUAACCAAGGAUUGCAGCGUUCUUAAAAAGCACCUCGCAGAGCUUUGGGCUAGUGGUGAUCUUUCCAAAUUCGAUAUAAAAGAUUUUGUGAAGGAAUACCACGAAGCAAAGGAAAACUCCAAAGAUCAAGACUCCAAAAGACCAAGGUUAUCCAACGAGGAAGAACCAAGAAGUUCGAAGGGGAGGAUCAAUGUGAUUCUAGGAGGUUCCAGAUUUUGCGGAGAUUCAAUAAGUUCCAUCAAAAAACAUAGACGAAAUGUCUUACUCAAAGCAAGCUUGAGUGAAGAAAUUGAUUUUCAAGGUGCUACAAUAUCAUUUAACGAAGAAGAAACACGGCAUCUCGAAAGACCGCAUGACGAUGCUUUAGUCAUUACUCUUGACGUCGCAAACUUCGAAGUAUCAAGGAUCCUUAUAGAUACAGGCAGUUCGGUCGACUUGAUCUUUUUAAGUACUCUAGAAAAAAUGGGAAUCAGCCGAGGAGACAUAGUAGGACCCCCAUCUCCGUUAGUUGCAUUCACAAGCGAGUCAGCCAUGUCUCUCGGAACAAUCAAGCUACCGGUCCUUGCCAAGAAGGUAUCAAAGAUCGUGGACUUCGUUGUCUUCGAUAAGCCCGCUGCUUACAACAUUAUCCUCGGGACUCCCUGGAUUUAUCGGAUGAAAGCAGUCCCCUCUACAUAUCAUCAAUGUGUCAAAUUUCCAACAUCAAAUGGGGUGGAAACAAUUCGGGGAGAUCAAGAAGCUUCACGGACUUGUUACUUAGCUAGCCACCGUAUGAAGAUUCAAUAGCAAUUAGCGAAGCCUGCAAAAGAAAGACUAAAAACAAAAUUUCCUAGUGGGCAGAAGAAAGAGGAUGUAGUAGUCGAAGUGGUACUGGAAGAAGAAAAGCCGGACCGGAAAAUUAGAAUUGGAGCAACUUUGACUGGCCUAAUAAAAGAAGCUUUGAUCGAACUCUUAAGGAAAAACAAAGCAUCAUUCGCAUGGUCGGCAGCGGACAUGCCUGGCAUAAAUCCGAGUAUAAUUUGUCAUGAACUAAACGUAGAUCCAAGCUUCAAACCGGUGAAACAAAAAAGAAGAAAGCUUGGAGUGGAGCGGGCAAAAAUAGUAAACGACGAAGUGGAUAAACUCUUGAAGAUAGGGUCCAUAAGAGAAGUGCAAUAUCCGGAGUGGGUAGCAAACACUGUCGUUGUCAAGAAAAAGAAUGGGAAAGAUAGGGUUUGCAUCGACUUUACAGACCUAAAUAAGGCAUGUCCCAAAGAUAGUUUCCCGCUCCCGCAUAUAGAUCGACUUGUAGAGUCCACCGCUGGAAAUGAGCUGUUAACGUUCAUGGAUGCCUUCUCGGGUUAUAAUCAGAUAAUGAUGAACCCCGACGAUCAAGAAAAGACGUCAUUUAUCACAGAUAGAGGUAUCUACUGUUACAAGGUAAUGCCUUUUGGUUUGAAAAAUGCAGGAGCGACUUACCAACGGUUGGUGAACAAAAUGUUUCAUAAUCACCUCGGGAAGACUAUGGAAGUCUACAUAGAUGAUAUGUUGGUUAAAUCGUUGAAGAAAGGAGAUCAUGUUAAGCAUUUGGAGGAAUGUUUUGAUAUUCUCAAUAAAUAUCAAAUGAAGCUGAACCCGGCGAAGUGCACAUUUGGAGUCCCAUCCGGGGAAUUUCUUGGCUACAUCGUAACAGAAAGAGGGAUUGAAGCCAAUCCAAAUCAAAUUAACGCCUUUCUAAACAUGCCAUCUCCGAAAAACUUCAAAGAAGUACAACGGUUGACUGGGCGGAUUGCGGCCUUGAAUCGUUUUAUCUCGAGGUCAACAGAUAAGUCGUUGCCUUUCUACCAAAUUCUAAAAGGGAACAAAGGAUUCCUUUGGGAUGAGAAGUGUGAAGAAGCUUUUGGGCAGCUUAAGACAUACUUAACCACUCCACCCAUACUGUCCAAACCGGAAGUGGAUGAAAAACUCUAUUUGUACGUUUCAGUUUCAAACCACGCGGUUAGUGGAGUCUUGGUUCGGGAAGACCGUGGGGAGCAGAAACCAAUUUACUACGUGAGCAAGUCAAUGACGGAUCCGGAAACCAGAUAUACAAUGAUGGAGAAACUUGCGCUCGCGGUGGUAACUUCGGCCCGGAAGCUGCGUCCAUAUUUUCAGUCCCAUCCGGUUGAGGUAUUAACUAACCAACCACUCAGAACAAUACUUCAUAGUCCAAGUCAAUCCGGACGUUUGGCGAAAUGGGCGGUGGAAUUAAGCGAGUACGACAUAGAGUUUAAAAGCCGGAUCAGUAUGAAGGCUCAGGUCUUAGCAGACUUCCUGACCGAACUACCAAUACCUGGAACGGUAGAUCAACCGGAGAACCAAACUUGGAAAUUACACGUAGAUGGGUCUUCAACAAAGCAAGGAUCCGGAGUGGGAAUCAGGUUGGAAUCUCCGACAUCAGAAAUUCUAGAACAAUCAUUCCGAUUGUUAUUCAAUGCCUCCAACAACGAGGCAGAAUACGAAGCCCUUAUUGCCGGACUUCGACUAGCACAAGGAGUUGGAGCUAAGGAAAUAUUGGCUUAUUGCGAUUCGCAAUUAGUAGUUAACCAAUUUAAUGGAGACUAUGAAGCCAAAGAUUCAAGAAUGGAAGCUUACCUCGAAGUGGUGAAGGAUCUAUCUAAAAAUUUCUCGAAAUUCGAGUUAAUCCGCAUACCUCGGGGAGAGAAUACAACUGCAGAUGCACUUGCCGCUUUGGCGUCAACAUCAGAUCCUGAGUUAAAGAGAGUUAUUCCAGUAGAGUGCAUCUCGGAGCGAAGCAUUCAAGACAGCAAGGAAACCCUCGUCGUUACAAGGUCUCGAGCAGCGGCACGCGACCGUGGCGAACCAGAGAUCGAACCGCCACCCAACAAACGCAGGAAGUCAAAAGGAUCAAAUACAUCUAACAAGGAAUCCGUUGUCUUAGCUAAAGAAGUGGUUCCGGAAACGAUGUCAGAAACCGAGCCAUUAAUCGAGGAAGAUAUUCUUGAACCAAACGAGCAUCCCGAACCAGAGCCACGAAUAUUUCACAAAAUUGACCAAAUUCCGGCUAAAGACUGGGGGGCUGACUGGAGGGAGCCAAUAAAGCACUACAUCACGACAGGCGAGCUCCCAAAGAAUAAAUGGCAGGCCAGGAAAAUGAAAGUCGUUAGCGCGAAAUUUUGCCUAUCGAAAGAUGCAUUAUAUAGGCGAGGUGUUAGUGACCCUUACCUGUUAUGCAUUUUUGGGCCCGAAGUCGAAAUCGUCAUGAGCGAAGUGCAUGAGGGAUUAUGUGGAAGUCAUUCAUCAGGAAGAGCUAUGGCUUUUAAAGUUAAAAGAAUGGGGUACUUUUGGCCCACUAUGAUCACAGAUUGUGUUAAGUUCGCCCAAAGAUGCAAGCGUUGCCAACUCCAUGCACCAUUGAUCCAUCAACCGUCGGAAUUAUUCUCCUCCAUUUCCGCCCCAUACCCGUUUAUGAGGUGGUCAAUGGACAUCAUUGGACCAUUGCACAAAUCAACUCGAGGUGUACAGUACCUUUUGGUCCUCACGGACUACUUUUCGAAAUGGAUUGAAGCUGAGGCGUAUGUUGGUAUCAAAGAUUCGGCGGUGAAGACUUUUAUUUGGAAAAACAUUAUAUGUCGACAUGGAGUUCCGUACGAAAUAGUCACUGAUAAUGGACCGCAAUUCAUUUCACACGAGUUUGAUGCCUUUUGUGCGGACUGGGGAAUUAAAGUGAGUUAUUCUACUCCAAGAUAUCCGCAAGGAAACGGUCAAGCCGAAGCCGCGAACAAGACGAUAUUAAGCAAUCUCAAGAAACGCUUAAGUCAUCUAAAGGGAGGAUGGUAUGAAGAACUCCAACCCGUCCUGUGGGCUUAUCGUACAACCCCUAGGCGACCUACAGGAGAAACUCCAUUCUCUUUGGUUUAUGGCAUGGAAGCGGUAGUACCAGCUGAACUCAACGUGCCCGGACUUCGUCGAACAGAAGCACCGUUAAAUGAGGAAGAAAAUUCAGCAAUGCUUAACGAUUCACUGGAUACCAUAAAUGAAAGGCGUGAUCAAGCUCUAAUUCGGAUCCAGAAUUACCAACAGGCAGCAGCCCGGUAUUACAAUUCAAAGGUUAAAAGUAGGCCAUUCUUCGUGGGAGAUUUCGUAUUAAGGCGUGUCUUUGACAACAAAAAAGAAGAAGGUGCCGGAAAACUCGGUAUUAAUUGGGAAGGACCUUACAUUAUUACCGAAGUGGUUCGAAACGGUGUUUAUAGGUUGAAAGACCUAGAAGACAAUCCAGUGAAGCGACCUUGGAAUGUGAUCAACUUAAAGAAGUUUUAUGUUUAAAGCUAUAUGCAUUAUUUUUGUACAUGAACUACGAUUUGGCUUGAUCCCGAAAAGGGUACGUAGGCAGCUCGAAAACGGGUUCAGCUAUAAAUAAAAUUUUUGUUUUAUUUCUUUAUUAAAGGAAGAAGGUUCGGCUAUGCGAACAUACAAGAGAUUGGAAAUAAAGCAUUUAUUCAAAAAAAAGAGGGCGAAGUGUCCCUCAUCGUACACUUUGAACUACGAAAUCCUCGUUGACGAGCAGAACACUUCAAUUCCUUGACCAGCAAGAUCGAGGAUUGGCAUCAUGCAGUCCGGAAUUCGAGCAAAGUCAGAGAUUCCAAGCUCAAUCCACUCUCCGGGGUGAGAUUCAAGGAUGUGAAGAUUCCUUGACACCAUAGUAAGCCUGCGUUGCAUCCGGCUAAUCCUCUUCCGGAGCCUCCUCUUUUCCGACGUAAGCUUCCGGUGUUGAAGUUCAAGUGCCUCUAUGAAUGCCGUCGCUGUUCCUUGAUCUCUGAUAGGUAGAUCCCUGAUCAAAGCACAUGGGGCUCGGAUUUGAGAUCUCAAGAAGCCGCGAAGUGGAGGAGGCUGCCUGUUGGGCUCACUUGGAACAUCUUCAUUCAUCAUUCCGAUUCUGGAGAAGUCGGGCAUAGAUUCUGAACAGCGUAGAUUGAACUCCAUGCCUGCUAAAAUAAAAAAUGGUGAGGAGUAAAGAGGAGUUGAACCUAUAAUUUAUAAGAACCCCAUAUCCCUAGCAAGCUACGGAUUCUAUCCAAGGAAUGGAAUGAUUCGCGGAGAGAUUUAUGCCCUCGAACGGAUCCUGCAUUAAAAGACGUAUCUCGAAGAAUAUUUGGAAAAGAAGGAAAAUAGCAAAUAUUUCCAUAAAUAAAAAGGGCCGAAGCCCAUUACGAGUUUCUGUUUAAAAAAAAAAAAAGAGAGAAGUGAAGAAAUUGGAGAACAUUUAUGGGAGAGGCUCAGGAACAGGCUCCUUCAUCACCGGUUUAGUCCUCGAAGUGGAUGCCUUGUUUUUGGCAUCCACUUCGGAACGAUCCCGAAGGCGUUUCCGGCAGUCGCUGGCCUCCUCCUCCAAGUCCUCUCCCUCUUCAUCGUCGGAUGGAACGGCGAAGACGGGGGCGUUCACAGGACCCGGAACCCCCUUAGCACGGAGGUACAUCCGAAGCAUCCUCGGAAUCUCAGCAACGGAAUCGAAAUUCCGCCAUUCCCACUGAAAGGGAUCACUUUCCAAAGCCCUGAUCUUCCUCUCCACCCGAGAAAUACGAGCCUCGAGUGUCUGCCUUUUGAGGCCUAGCCGUUGCCUCUCUUCACACAAGCGACGGUGCUUGUCGGCGACCUAGCAUAAAGAUGAAUGAAUAAGAUGAAACAAAGAGUUUUUUAAUCAAAAAAAAACUUCGAAUACUUACCUUGUCAAUGAAGUCGCAAGCCUCUUUUUUCUCCUUUGAAGGAAAGUGAAAGACGGCAUGAGGGAAGAGAACGCCGGCCGGCUCAAAGCCGUCACCGGACAGGAAGAGUGGGCUGCCGGGAUCAACGGGGGCUACUGUUUCGCUUUCCAUUCUCAAAAUAUUUCUCAAGUGGGACUCUAGAGUCAUGUUUAAUAAAGCCUAGAGGUAGGUAAGCCUUUAUUUAUAAUGAUUUAGGGUUUUGCUUUGGAACCAUAAAUUCAUUAAUGGUAGCGUUUCCGAGUGGCUUAAACCAUUUUUGGAAAAUCAAGAAAAGGCAAUUAUUACAUUAAAAGACGAGCCGUUCUCUUUAAGAAGGGAAAAAAGCAACCGUCGCAUCAACUGCAAAAGUUUCUAAGGCCCUAGCCUGACAAGUUUACCGAGUUGACUAAACCCGAAGUGGGGAACUCGCUUUAAGCCGAGCUCAGUUCUCGCAUUCUAAAGAGAAAGGUCUGAUCAACCUAAAAAUCUCGAAAGCAUUGCCACAAGGCCACAAAAGGUUAAAACGGACUUUGCAAACCCGUAUAUAAUUUUAACCAAACCCCCUUGGGUCGCAACCUAGAAAGGUUUAAAAGCCUCCUCAGGCAAAUAUCUUGUUCAAAAGAAAAUAAAGCCUCCUUAGGCAAAAAUAAAUUCGAGAUUAAGUCUUAAAAUAAAAAGGGACAAUCCCCAAUUUAAAGUGGACACAGCCACUACGGAGCGAUCUCCACCUCGGGCUCCUGCUCAGCAACCAGAGUUUCAUUCACCUCCUUGACUGGUGCAUGAUCAGAUGAAGCUCCCUGACCACCCUCCGCGGGACAACCAACCUCCGGAGUAACCUCCGGUACCACAGGAGCUACAGGCGGAACAAUGCCCUCCGUCUCACUUGAACCUGGAAAUAAUAAUUCCAGUCAAUCAAAGGUACAAGGUAAGAAAAGGUAAGCCUUAGGAGCCAAGCGUUACCUGCCCAGUCUAAACCCGAUUCACUUAUUGGAGGUGAUUCAGUAAAGAAUGCCUCGAAGUCAAGCGGGUUGAAGGCCGAAGUGGGAAGAGCUGCCAAGCGACUCCGUUUUUCAGAAAGGUUAGUCGACAGCUCGGUCCUUUCUUGCUCUUCGGAGAAAUCUGCUUCAUGGAUUUGAUCCAGCAGAAUCAGGUUACUUUCGUACUCCUUGAUGUCUGACUCCAAGUCCGACCUAGCCUUCUCAGUCUGCAUGAAUCGGAUGGCCCCUUGGAUCAACUCCAUCCCGCGUCCCUUGACCUCUUUUCUGGCUUUUGAUGCCGACCUCGCCAAUUCGGAGUCACGCAAUUUGGCAAUUGCCUUGUACUUCGCGUUGAGCUCGAUGAGUUGGUUGUUCAGGGAAUCAGCGUUUGAUUCGGACUCUUGAAGCCUACCUUGAAUACCAGAAAACUCUUCCUGGAGUUUGAAGUUCUGGUCGUACUGACCCUGCAGCUCCCCCUUUAUCUGCGCAAGCUCGGAUGUUAAAUUGUCGACUUUGUCCUCCAGUUCAUGCUUGGAGCCGGCAGAAGAACUGAGUUCGGCCUCAAGGGCGGAGAGUUUCUUUGUCAACAUGUCCAUCUCCUUCUCCCGGCCAAUGACCAACCCUUCGUAAUGUUCGAUCAUGUCGUUAAAUUCGCUUUGAGCCUGGCGUUAUGUAUGAACCCGGGAUGACGAGUCAGUUCGCAGAAUGGCAAUACAAUAAAAAAUUUACAUAAACGAAAGCGGGACUAACCCGAGAUGAGUGAUGCGCGUGAAGCAGAUAACGUUCACGAAUCGCAGGGCGCCAUUUGUUGAAAUCUGGCAAGAUCGAACCCGAACGGGUCUUGAAGCAUCGGAAGACGCUGCCUUCUGUCUCCAUAGCUGCGAAGAAGGAAGAAUUGUAAAAAUUGGAAUUUUAAAGACAAAAGUUUAAGUGUGUAAAUCACCGAACCUGAAAGCGAUUUGACUUGAGGUACAAGAGCAGGCUUCAGCCUCGAGGGAGCAUCUCGAGAUUCAGAAUCUCCUUUUUUCGGAGACGCGCUCCGGGCGGUCUUUCCACUAUCAGGCUGGGAAGAGGAAGACAUGUCAACCGGUCGUGGAGGACCCAUUGGUUCAGAAGGAGGGGAUGACCGAGGUGAGCGGUCAGUCCGGGCCCUUGACUUUUCCCUCUGCGGGGAAAGAUCACUGCGAGAGGACUUGUCUCUCUUUCGGCGAACCAAGUUCUUAAUUGGUUCGUUACUGAAAUCAUCUCGGGAAGGACGAGGUGAAUCACGGCGAGGAGAUCGAUCCCUCCGAGGAGAACGUGAGUCGCGACGAUCGCGACGAGGAGUUAAUCUGAAGGAAGCGACAGAUCGGGCUCCCUCAGUACUGCCAUCAUCGACCAGCAAGGUCCUACUAUAGUCCUUCUUGUCUAUGGAAGUCGUGAGGAACUUUUUCUUCUCCUCGCAAGCCUCAGCCAUCGGCUUGGAAAGCAACUUACGUUUGGCCGCAAGGGCCCGAGAUGACAUUCCCUGAGUUGAGGGAGGGGGAGGAAUUUGGUGAAGAUGACCAGGCGGACUCAUCCUGAGUCUGUGGUUAGCCUCUAUGAAUCGUUCGAGAGUGAAGGAAUUCCAAAGGGUUUCCCCUUCAAGAAUUAUUUUGAAGAAUUCGAUGAACUCUUCAGAUGGGAGAUUGGAAGCGAUGAAAGCUGCGAAAUGAAACAACGGUGUUAGUUAAUAAAAAUAAAGAAACAACCGGGAAAGAUACGGGCAACCUAAUCUCUACCAGGUUUCGCCGACCACUUCGAAGGGAGGAAAUCUGCAAGAUUUCCAAUCGAAGCGGGAGUUUUCUUAAUCAAGAACCAAGGAUGAUGCCAAUUUUCAUCCUUGUUUGGAAGAUGCGAAAUGAUGUUCCUGUUGGCGUUAGGAUAUGCUGAGAAAUACCCCGUUUUCUUCGAUGAGCUUCUCACGCUUAGAAGCUCAUUUAGUUCGGCGACUCCAAUAACGUAACCGGCCUCCGCCGCGAUUGUUAUAAUGCCGAGAAUAGUACGAAGAAGAUUGGGGGUUAAUUGAGGAAGAGCGAUUUCAAGAGCCGCUAGGUAUAAAAUUAGGGCUUCGGGAAGAGGAAAGGUCAGCCCGCAACCUUUGAAAUAAAUCUCAUACACACAGAAGUAACCAUCGCGAUGGUUCUCUGGAGAUUCUGUGGGGGAAGCUAUUUGAGCUUCCGCCAUAAUUUCCGGUGGAAUCCGGCAAAGCUCUCUCAAUCGCUCGAGGGAUUGAAGAGUACAAGUGGACCUAAAGUGCGGACCGACAAUAUCACCAGGGCGGGUGCAUUCGUCGUUACUAGAACGCCUCUCGUCGAAAGACGGAGACUCGGGUCUAUCGGAAUCGGAAGUCAUUGGGAAAAAAGAGAAAUUCGAAAUCCGGCGAAGAAGGGUUUUGGUGAAGGAACGAAGAGAGAGGUUUUGAUUAAAGUACAAAAGUAAAAGAAGAGAGUAAUGGUGAAAAGAAGUUACCUCAAGCUAAUGAUGAAACCGCCUUGGAAGUCGUGUGGGAAGUGGGAAGGUUUUUCCCGUUUUAAUAGUAAUUAAUCAAUAUACGGUCAUAAUGAUGACAGAUGUCACUCGGUUAAGAAUGGCUAGUGCCGAAAUUAAAGGAGUGAUGAGAUUUUCGGCGGGAAAUCAUAAAGAUUCUCGAGCGCAAUCUUUGGCCACUUGAGCAUUUAAAGUCCUCCGAAUUGAAAAAACACUUCGAAGAACUUGGGGGGCUAAUUGUUGGUGUCGGAUCCCGCACCAGAAGUACGCGACCAACCAAAGAUUGCCACGUAGUCAAGCGGGUGGCCCAUAAAGAUAAAGCCCAUUGGGCCCAUGAACCGAGGGGACGGUCGAAGUGGUUGUCACCACUUCGAGAGUCCGAAGUGACUGCACUGAGAUGUGAGUUCGGUAUAUAAGACGCGGAUAGGUCGGUUCAAGGACACUUGGGCCAAAAAGGCGAGGCCCACAAAGAUCAGAGUCAACUCAAAUUCAAACGUUGAGAAUUAAAGUCGAAGAAUCAAAACGGACACAUUUAAGAGGGAAUAAUUGUACUUAAUUAUUCAUUUUAAUGUUAAAUUCUCUAUGUAUAAAUAUAGAGGCCAAUGGCCAUGUAAAGGGGAUCUUCCUCUCGAGAGAGAAAUAAUAUAGCAAUUCUAGUAUCAAAUUUACAAGUUCUUACGUAUUCAUUUUUGUCCCUCAAGAAUAAUCUUUCCCACUUAACAAAAUACUUGAGUGUGUAAAUCCGACAUCCACACAGUGUACGUUUGUUAGACUGUGUACGUUAGAAACUUUGAUGGUAGAUUUAAAAUAGUUUUACACAACAUAUUUUGCAGGAAUUGAAAGUAUGGAUCCGGUGGAAGAUGUUAAUGCUGAAUAGUGACCGUCUAGGUUAUUUGCUUUGGACCAUUACCCUAAAAUAACGAAGAGAAAUGUUUAUUCUAGACCGGAGUACCUUGCUACAAUAGUGAAUGCUUUGAAAGGAAUCGAGGAGAUUAAAUUUCUUUUAAACUCUCCUUUUGGGAAGAUUUUUGAAAUCUCCCCUAACAAGUUUGUGUGUCAAUUGGUGACAAAUAAAUGACACAAGAUGUAUGUAGAUGUUUUUUGCGGGAGGUGAGAAAUACCCCAAAAGAAAAAAGGUAAAACAAGUAACUAAACGGAAAGAGGGAUGCAAAAAAGUUUGGACAACGCUAUUUGGGAAAGAUAUAUGCGAAACCAACAGUACCUGACUUGGAGAAUAAAUUAGAUAUAGCUCACUCCACUAUGUGUUAGUUGUUGCACAUUUAUUAAUGGGUGUAAACAAUUUUUCCUUUUAUUGGUAUGCACAUGAAAUGUGACUUUUCUAAGGUUUAAGAGAGUUCGAGGAUGUAACAUUGAAUUGUUAUAUUAAAAAACUAAUAUGUUGAUAUCCAUUUUGUUAUAUUUUUUAUGAUGUAGUUGAUGUAUGUAUGAAUGAAUGAAGCUAUUUUGAAGAUUAACGUACGCAAUUUUCAAACAGAUGAUAGUUUGUGACGGUAAACGUACACGGUCAUAAGACAAGAUGAACAUCGUAAUAAGGAGAUAUACGUAAUGUAUUUUCAAAAUUGGCGACGUAUCCAAAACUAAAAACGUACAUCAUCAUACAAUCGAAAACGUACAUCAUUCUACAAACGAAAACGUACUCGAGUAGAAGAUGACACAAAAACAUACACUACAUUAAUCUGAGAGUGUUAUGAAAUCUUAUAUGUAUAUUAGAUUUUUGUAUGUCUUCUUGUUAUGUUCUUCGCUUUUACAUCUUAUACAACUAUACGACAGAGAUGUUUUUCAAAAUAAAAUUGCAUCUACUACCCCGUGUUCACAUUAAAUUCAUAAUAUGGUGUACAUAUAUUAUGUACACGUACACUAGUCCAGUAAGACAUGAAAAUGCUCCUUAAUGACCCUCUAAUCCCUACCUCAAAACCUUUGACUUCAAAUACACUAUGCUCUUUUGUAUUCGUGUACGUCAAACAUUCACUUCCACGUACUUUUUCUUGUACACAGUUAAUGAUGUACGUACAUUUGUCAAAUGGUUAAAUUGUCACCAUUCUCCUCAAAAUCAUCAAAGUUUAUUAUAAUUAUUUUUCUGUUUUUUUUUUCACUUUCUUACCAUUCUAUAAAAUAUUUCAGAAAAUCAUGUUUUUCAGCUAUUUUUUUAAAAACAUUUUUACUUAUAAAUGUUUUUAACAAUUUUUUAUAUAGAUUUAUGACGAUCACUUUAAUUUUUUAGUUACAAGAGUUGUGUUUUUUUUUAAUAACUCUUUCUUUUUUGACAAUUCCAAAAAGUGUUUUAAAUUUUUUUAGUCGUAAUUAUUCACUCCGGAAAUGGUUUUUCUUAUUAUGUUAACUCCAUAUUCAAUUUGUACAUCUUAUUAUAUAAAGUAUGGUUUUCAAAGUUAAUAACUCAUAGGAUCGUGACACGUGGAAAAUCUAUCGAUCUUAGAUUUUGACACGUGUAAAACAAAAAUUUCCUUUUAUUUAAUUUUAAAAAAGUAAAGAAGAUAAUUAUAAGGAAACUAUAUGUAUCUUAUUAAAUAAAAAUAAAAAUUAUAAAAUUAUUUACCAUUUCUAAUUUAAAGCUACUAAUUCUAAAAGAAAAGUAUUAAUUUUUCCUUAAAAACUAAAAAAAGAUUAAAGAAAUUAUAAAAUUAACUAAUAAAAUACGAUAAUUAAGAAGACUCUACAAUCAAAAAGAUUUAAGAAAUUAUAUAAUUAAUUAAUAAAAUAAAAUAAUUAAGGAAAUUGUACAAUCAAUUAAUCUUUUAAAAGAAGAUUUUAAAUACUCACCUCUAUAUAAACAAAAACAUUUCUUCAGAAGCACCACCAUUGCUUCAACUUCGAUAUAUUGUCAAAGCUUUUUUAAGGGUAAAAAUCGUUUAUUUUUCUUAACCAUGCAAAAAGUAAAAUAAGAAUUUUUACAUGUGCUAUUAGUCAAUAAAAUUUGGCAUGUAUUAGUCAAUAAAAUUUGAAAAAGUAAUGAGUUUAUAAGAAUUAAUUUUUGAUUACUUGAUGAUAAUAUUAUUAUAGUUAUACUUAUUUUUUUAUUCUAAAAAAUUGAAAUAAGUGAAAACACAAAAAUUGGAAAAAUGGCAUAUAGGAAGUAAUUUUUGAUUAUUUGAUGAGAAUGUCAGCAUAUUUUUUAUUUAUUAAUUUUAAGUCAAUUAAUAUUAGUUUGACAUGAGGUAAAUUUAACUUAUAAGAUUAAUACAUAUAUAUAUGUAACAUUAUUUUAAAGUACAAAAAGAUUUGUGGAUGUUUACUUUUUUUUAAAAAAAAUUAUGUUUGAUAUUUGUUAAUUAUUUUAAUAUUUACUAAGAUAUAGAUUUGAUAUGAUAUAUAUAUUAUUUGGAUAUAAACUUUUUGUCAUUUAUCUACUAAGAUGAAGUGUGUGUAGAAUUAAAAUCUAUCGUCUUCUUAUACAAAGCUUGGUUUCUAAAAUUAGUAACUCAUGGGAUCGUGACACGUGUCAAGUCUAUCGAUCAGAUUUUGACAUAUGAUUGGGUGUAAAUAUACAUUUUUUUUUUUUGGUGGGCUGUAAAUAUACAUUUUUAGUAAUAACAUAGAUCUGAUACGUUUGUAAAUAGAUGUGAUAAGAUGAUUAUUUAACCAAUAGUUUGCGUGUAAAAUAUUUUUUGAAGAAGUUGUAGAACUAUAUUUUAAGGAGAUUGCGAGACUACAUUUUUGAAAUUUGGAAAUAAAUAUAAUGAUGAAUAUUUGACAAAAAGUUUUGGUGAUUGAUAAUUUAAAUUAUUGUAAUAAGUGUUGCAAUAAAUAUAAAAUAUAGAAAUGUAAAUCACUAUAUAAAAAAAACAAAUAUAUAAUUAACUUAUUUGAUGACUAAAAAUAUCUAUUUACUUUCUAAAGAUAGUUUCUACUUAUAAAUUUUUUUGAAUAUAUAUUGUUUUGUUAAAUUUAAUUUUAUAUAAAAAAAUUAAAACCCGCACAUCGUGCGGGUCCUUAUCUAGUUAUUAUAUAUAUCAUCUUAUCAUAGAUAAAUUGUAACAUAUUAAUAUUACUAUGUACGUACACAAAAUUAAAUUUUAUUGUGUACACAUUUUAACUAUGUACAUCUAAUUCCACACUGAGGCCUUUAUAUAUUGAAGAAUGUCUGUCCGAUACAAUCAUUAAAUCUUCACUGUCUGGAACAAUGUCAGCUAAUUUAUCAAAGAACCACACCCAUGAAGCGUCAGUCUCACCAUCCACAACACCAAACGCUAUUGGAAAUAUUUGGAAGUUCCCGUCUUGGGCACAUGCAAUGAGGAGACAUCCCUUGUAACGUCCUACUAGCUGCGUUCCAUCUACGACAAUUACCUUCCUCAUAUACUUCAGACCUUUUAUAGAAGCCCCGAGAGAUACAAAAACAUACUUAAAGCGCUGCGUACCAUCAGCUUCAGGUGUAGAGUGUAGGUGAGUUAUCGUACCCGGAUUAGCUAAUUUAAGAAGAUACAAAUAGGUAGGCAAAAACCUGUAACUUUUUAUAUCAUCCCCCCUUACAUUUUCCACUGCAACCUCUUUAGCUCUCCAAGCGGUAGAAUAUGAAAUCCGAACAUUGAGAUCAUUUAGGAGCAACUGUGGUAAAUCGACAGCUCUCGGACCCCCUUGCGUAGAACUGUAUCUGCUCUUCACUACCUCUCCGAGAAGCUUAUAACUAGCAUGUUUAUUAUAAUUCUUACGAGUGUCGAUGUCACACGUAUGGGUGGUAUCAUACAAUGUGAUUUUGAAACAUUCUGAAUUCUUGACAACUUGAGCUGUCAAAUGCCAUGGACAAGUAUCAUCAACGCAGACCAUCUCCAAUCUUGUAGGACAUGACCUACGUUGCUUGUAGCAAAAGCAUUGUUUGAUUGCGAGAUAAGACAUUGUUUGUUGUAUGACUUUUCUGUUCUUAAAAACACUCCCGACAUACAAAGUCUCACCUGUCGUACUCAGUUCAACUUGUGUCUCAUCAUCUCGUAAAUUGGCUAAAUCAUCGAAUACCGGAGCAGCAUCAUUAUCGAGAAUCUCCAACUCGCCACCAUGUAAUGUAGAAAAGUCAUUAUACACUUCGUAAGCCUCAGCUGCGGUAACUAACCGAUUAUCAUUCAGUGUCCCACUUGCGGAAGCUCCAAUACCAAGGUCGAUAGUGACUUCGUAUAUACCAUUAAUAUUGGUAUCCGUGUUACCUUCGCAGCCUGUAUCUUGUACACACUCUGUAGUGUACGUACAUUGGUACACAUUCCCGCACAAAUCAAUUAAGAACGAAAUAUAUUGCGUAACCGGAACAGUGUACGUAACUGAACCGCUUAACUGAACCGUACAGUGAACCGCUUAACUGAACCGUACGCUUAACUGAACCGUACAGUGAACAGUACAUCGGUAGGGGUAAAAUGGUCAGAUUUUGGCCAAAAUGUCAAAACUUGAAAGCCCAUUCUCACUUUGCCAAAACUUGAAAUUAAAACUUGGUCAACUGCCAUGCAAUUUACCCGAGAGAAAACCGGUCCACAAACUUCAUGAUCCUAUUUAUAGUAAACUAUAAAUAAAAUACUACUACAAAAACAAAAUCAAAGUUUCGAACCCUAACUUGUAAAACACCUAAUUCGAGAGAGAUAAAGACCAUGGAAAGUAACCUGCGCAGGGACGACGAGGGCGAUGAAAUCCACGGU
rnacentral:lncRNA from 1 species